rnacentral:rRNA from 1 species
CAGCCGCCGCGGUAAUACGUAGGGGGCGAGCGUUGUCCGGACUUAUUGGGCGUAAAGCGCGCGCAGGCGGUCCCUUAAGUCUGAUGUGAAAGCCCACGGCUCAACCGUGGAGGGUCAUUGGAAACUGGGGGACUUGAGUGCAGAAGAGGAGAGCGGAAUUCCACGUGUAGCGGUGAAAUGCGUAGAGAUGUGGAGGAACACCAGUGGCGAAGGCGGCUCUCUGGUCUGUAACUGACGCUGAGGCGCGAAAGCGUGGGGAGCAAACAGGAUUAGAUACCCUGGUAGUCCACGCCGUAAACGAUGAGUGCUAAGUGUUAGAGGGGUUAAACCCUUUAGUGCUGUAGCUAACGCGUUAAGCACUCCGCCUGGGGAGUACGGCCGCAAGGCUGAAACUUAAAGGAAUUGGCGGG